GUAGGGGGCAAGCGUUAUCCGGAUUUACUGGGUGUAAAGGGCGCGUAGACGGCAAGGCAAGUCAGAAGUGAAAACCCAUGGCUCAACCAUGGGACUGCUUUUGAAACUGUCUGGCUGGAGUGCAGGAGAGGUAAGCGGAAUUCCUAGUGUAGCGGUGAAAUGCGUAGAUAUUAGGAGGAACACCAGUGGCGAAGGCGGCUUACUGGACUGUAACUGACGUUGAGGCUCGAAAGCGUGGGGAGCA
rnacentral:rRNA from 1 species